rnacentral:tRNA from 1 species
GGUUAUGGCUCAGUGGUAGAGCACCCGCCUAGCAUGUUUGAGGUGCUGGAUUCCAUCUUCAGCAACAUGUAAAAAUUAAAAAAUUAAAUAAAGGUAUUUUAAAAAGUGAUGUACAAGGUCUUGGGUUCAAACCCCAGUACCA